rnacentral:rRNA from 1 species
ACCUAACGAACUUUUUGUUUGUCUAAAUUGUACAUUGUCUAAGAUCUUUUAAACAGAUCUUAUUAGUAAAUGUAUAUCAUUUAUGCUAUGUAUCUAACUUGAGGUAUUAUUAAUCUAGACUCCUAGGUUCUUCUUUCAUACAACCCGAUUAGACAUCAACAAUGCCGGACUUUUUAAUAAAGUCUUUAGGGUCAACGUGUCUGCAUUUCAUGUCAUUUCAGACACCGGACUUCUACAUGAUAUCUAUGAUUAUACACUUAUGAUUCUUCAACCUCUUGGCUUGACUUUUAGCGGUCUUACCUAUUCCAACGGGGUUAGAAGAAGAGCACGCCAAGGACUCCCCUUUUAAUGGCGGCAGCCGCCGCCUGUGCUCCCGAGCGGCCCGGUCCCUCUCCUAUGUCCGCGGUGGUUUGGAACAUGCGCUCCUGCGGCGGCAACGAGCCUGAACUCGCGCCCGGUGGAGGUGGUGCACUACGCCGACGCGACACCUCUCGACCCGGCUCCCGGCGAGCCUCCUCGCCGCACAGCACCGACACCACAGACGGCGCGGGCCUCCUGACUACGAAGACGCUCGCAGGAGCUGCUCCAACAACGGCGAUGUCACUACCGCUCUGCCGCUCUGCCGCUCGUCGUCACCGGCGAUCAAGGUCAAGUUCUUUAAUCUUUUUCUGUACCGCAAGCACGGCUCUCCUCGGUCCGGCUCCCCUCGCAGCAACGCGGCUACGCGGCGACCUCGGACCUCCCGACAGCUCCGGCUCCCAGGAACAAAGGGACCGCGGCCUCCCUCAGCGGCGGUGUCGGCACAUAGUCCGGCUACCGGUCCCUGCGACUACGGCAGCUCAAGAACCGGAUAAACGAGAGACCUUCUCCGCACGACUAUUGCACAAUUUCAUUUUGCUCUCUCCCUCUCUCCUCGCUUACUACCCUUACUUGUCAAUAAGAUAACUAACUUCUAACCCCAUAAAUAUGGGUCAAAUGUUCCGCCAAUGUUUUCCUCCGUCAACGGUUUUCACCGUGGCUGUAUCGUCACUAAUUAUCAAUUAAUUGGAUUAAUUAAUUAAGGAUUGUC